GUAAAGGACCUUUUAUAGGAAUGGUGAUGGAUCACUAAUAUGGGUAUAGUGAGCCACAUAUGCAACGUACGGGACGGUAUUGUAUCAUCUUGAAAACAUACUCGAUUUCAUAUUCAAUCAGCAGGUUUCCAAGUCAGCAUUGUCCAGGAGUCGACCGUCUCGGAGUCAAUGGCACCCUAAGAAGAGUACCACCAGCCAUAGUGUCACCCUUGAACCAAGGCAUAGUAACAAGUAUACGUAACCGCGUUAGGCUGCCAAACAACCAGGUUGAAUGAAGACCUCAUCCUCGAGGCCAGGUAGCCCUUUUCUGGUAGGUGGGCCCCUGAUCGUCCUGACCGCACCGCGAAACCGGCUACAAAAUGUUUUAUUUACGAGGUCCGCUUCGGUGCAUCGAGUAGUGGCUGGGCAUCCCCUCGAGGAGCAGUCAGGAACGUGACAAAGUGACGGGGCCUGUUCUGCACGGUGCGGAAUCUGGGCCUGACGCUGGCUUUUCUGCGACAAGUGCCAUUGUGCUAUCUCCUGCGCUGACUGGGGCGGCAUCUCCAAAAGCAUCGUCCUCCAUUUCUUACGUCCCGCUUCGUGCGUCUCUUGGGAUUGAAGGAGAUGGCCUAUAUAACAUUUCUAGGUACAUAGACUCUGAAUUGUCACAUGUGGAUCACUCGUACGUU